rnacentral:snoRNA from 1 species
CACGCCCUCCGUCGUUGCUGUCGAGUUCAACCCUAACUUCCCCAACACCCAGGCGCGUGUUGAUAGAAGUACACUGUCCUGCACAACUGCGUGCGCUGCUUGGCUCGGCUACGCCUGUGGACAGAUAUUC